UGUAUCACAACUAUCUAAACAACAAGAAGACAUAUCUGAUGUCUCCUCUGAUCUUUCACCAAAGGCCAGCGGCUGAUCCAUUAACAUCAUCGAGCCGCUUCAUCAUCCAACCUAUGAUAUCGCGACCAACUUCCUCACGCUCAGGUUCAAAGAGAAGGUCGUGUAAGAAACCUUCAUAGAGUUUGAUGUCUUUAAACACCGAUGGGGCCUGGUUAUACAAGUCUUGUGACGCCAGUGGAUCAGUUACUUUGUCCUCUGUGCCGUGGAGAACAAAGAACGGCACUGUAAUGGAUUUGAAGUUGCGGGUCAAGUAAGCUGUUAUGCGGAGAAUCUCAUGGCCUGUUCGGACUCUUAUUGGACCGGUGUAGACUAACGGGUCAGAGUACUUGGCUAAGAGAGCUUCAGGGUCUCUUGAGACCGGAAUGCCUCUCUUGUUUGCUCCUUUGAAUUGGAACCUUGGAGCCACCAACGAGAAGAUUGGAGCUAUCGCCUACAAAGACACAUAUCACUUAAUGAUCACUUACUAUAUUUUCCAACCGAGAAUGAAAGAAACAUCUAACUUGACUUACCCCGACAAUAGGAUGAGCAGGUUUGACACGAAGUGCAGGCGAUGUUAGGACAAUACCAGCUAACAUAUCUUCAAUAGAGGGAGAUAAAGCCGCCUAUAAGACAAGGUAGACAACAAAUCAAGACACUGUUACAAUAAUGAAGAGAGAGCUUUAAAGGUACGAAGUUUAGGUACCUUCAAGACCACAGCUCCACCAGUAGAGUGACCAAAGAGGAAACACGGCACGCCCGGAUUCUCAGACCUAAUCUUCUCCAAGAAAGCUUCCUAUAUAAUCCAAAUCAUCAACACAACAGCAACUUCAAAGGGAACAUUUCUCUAUUUUCAUCUCCAAGAAGCAAAAAAAAAACAAAGUAAUGUUUGUAAACUUACAGUGUCGGAAACAACGUAAUCAAGAGAAGGAACGUAUCCAUGUAAACCAUCACUCCCACCGUGACCUAAUUACAACGUUAUGAGACCAAAACCUGUUCAGACUCACAGUUUCAGAACAAAGACAUAAACUAAAAAAAGAACAAGACAAGCUCGUGUUCAUACCAAUCCAAUCCAUAGCGUAUACACCAAAGUUACUCGUGUUUAGCUGCUUAGCGAAUUGAGAAUAUCUCCCACUGGAAACAAAACGAGAGAUUAACCCAAUUACAUACAGACAAAGAACAAAACAUGUGUCUGAAACAAAGAUAAUUGAAUUUCAUUUUUACCUGUGUUCAUUCAAUCCAUGGAUAAUAAUCAAAAUCCCCCUGAAACAUAAACAUACAAAAUUCAAGAUCCCAAGGUGAGUUUUGAAACCUAAACGUGCAAGCAAAGCAUGCAAGGGGCUCGAAAGGCUCAUACCUAAGCUCGCCGGAAAGAGGCAACCACGACCGAGAGAACAGAGCGUUACCACGUCGUCCGUAGAACAAGAAACUACUCCAACGAGAAUCGAUUUCGCCGAUCUCAACGCCUUCCGCCAACGAACGGCGCCUAGCCGUGUCUUCCUCCUCCAGCUUCCACGCCAUCUUCCUUUGUAUCUCCUACACUUUGGUUCUGAUUUUACAAUCACACCAUUUGUAUCACAACUAUCUAAACAACAAGAAGACAUAUCUGAUGUCUCCUCUGAUCUUUCACCAAAGGCCAGCGGCUGAUCCAUUAACAUCAUCGAGCCGCUUCAUCAUCCAACCUAUGAUAUCGCGACCAACUUCCUCACGCUCAGGUUCAAAGAGAAGGUCGUGUAAGAAACCUUCAUAGAGUUUGAUGUCUUUAAACACCGAUGGGGCCUGGUUAUACAAGUCUUGUGACGCCAGUGGAUCAGUUACUUUGUCCUCUGUGCCGUGGAGAACAAAGAACGGCACUGUAAUGGA
rnacentral:lncRNA from 1 species